rnacentral:lncRNA from 1 species
UGUCUUGUCUUAUUUUCAUUUUCGUCUUGCUUUUCAUAUCUUAUCUAGCAAUUUCUUAAUCUGGCAAUUUUCUUAAUCUAGCAAUUUUGUCUAAUAUUGAAUUUUUCAUCUUAUCUUGCAAAAUAUGUUAUCUUUACCUCGGCAUUUUCUUGUGUAUAUCAUUUUAUUCUUCAUGAUUAUUGUAUAUAUUUAUUUAUGUUUAAUGUUUAAUGUUUUUGUAUAUUUUCUCAUGUUUGAGGACAAACAUAUUGGAGAAGGGGGGAAUUUGUCAUAGGUGCCCUUUUAGGUAAAAGUUUUUAAAGUGAAUUUUAUUGAGAAAAUAUAUUAUUUUAGAAAAU